UACGUAGGUGGCAAGCGUUAUCCGGAAUUACUGGGCGUAAAGCGCGCGCAGGCGGUUUCUUAAGUCUGAUGUGAAAGCCCACGGCUCAACCGUGGAGGGUCAUUGGAAACUGGGGAACUUGAGUGCAGAAGAGAAAAGCGGAAUUCCACGUGUAGCGGUGAAAUGCGUAGAGAUGUGGAGGAACACCAGUGGCGAAGGCGGCUUUUUGGUCUGUAACUGACGCUGAGGCGCGAAAGCGUGGGGAGCAAACAGG
rnacentral:rRNA from 1 species